rnacentral:misc_RNA from 1 species
UUAAGUUCAGCGGGUAUCCCUACCUGAUCCGAGGUCAAGAGUGUAAAAAAUGUACUUUUGGACGUCGUCGUUAUGAGUGCAAAGCGCGAGAUGUACUGCGCUCCGAAAUCAAUACGCCGGCUGCCAAUUGUUUUAAGGCGAGUCUACACGCAGAGGCGAGACAACCACCCAACACAAGCAGAGCUUGAAGGUACAAAUGA